rnacentral:tRNA from 1 species
GACUCGGUGGCGAAACGGCAUCGCACCUGCGUAAUACGCAGGAGGGUUCCCAGUUCGAGUCUGGGCCGGGUCA